GCGGCCGAUGGCAGAUUAGGUAGUUGGUGGGAUAAAAGCUUACCAAGCCGACGAUCUGUAGCUGGUCUGAGAGGACGACCAGCCACACUGGGACUGAGACACGGCCCAGACUCCUACGGGAGGCAGCAGUGGGGAAUUUUGGACAAUGGGCGAAAGCCUGAUCCAGCCAUGCCGCGUGCAGGAUGAAGGCCUUCGGGUUGUAAACUGCUUUUGUACGGAACGAAAAGACUCCUUCUAAUAAAGGGGGUCCAUGACGGUACCGUAAGAAUAAGCACCGGCUAACUACGUGCCAGCAGCCGCGGUAAUACGUAGGGUGCAAGCGUUAAUCGGAAUUACUGGGCGUAAAGCGAGCGCAGGCGGUUUUGUAAGUCAGAUGUGAAAGCCCCGGGCUCAACCUGGGAACUGCGUUUGAAACUACAAAGCUAG
rnacentral:rRNA from 1 species